UACGAAGGGGGCUAGCGUUGUUCGGAAUUACUGGGCGUAAAGCGCGCGUAGGCGGGCAUCUUUGUCAGAGGUGAAGUCCCGAGGCUCAACUUCGGAAUUGCCUUUGAAACGGGAUCGCUUGAGUCCGAGAGAGGAUGGCGGAAUUCCUAGUGUAGAGGUGAAAUUCGUAGAUAUUAGGAAGAACACCGGUGGCGAAGGCGGCCAUCUGGCUCGGUACUGACGCUCAGGCGCGAAAGCGUGGGGAGCAAACAGG
rnacentral:rRNA from 1 species